CAAUUGAAUACCACCAGAAUAUAUUUAUAUUCAUUUGACUAGGAUUUAUUUGUAACAAACAUGGUACUGGCCAUUGUGUCACCAUGGCCAGUACCCCCAAAUGAUUAUUAAAUCAUUAGAAACUAGGUUUUAAUUAUUAUUCAAAUCAGUUUCUUUACAAAUUAACUUUAAAAAAAAAACUUGUGUUACUGUUCAUCCAAAGCAGUGCUAAUAGAUUCAGCUAAAACAGUGUGGCUGUGCAAGUAGGUAUUGCCAGAGACUAAUGACUGGCACAGGAGUAAAUUAAAUUAAAUGUCACUUUGUUGCAAAUAUUUCAUCAUGACCUGUAAGGUUCACUCUCUUGGUAUUUCAUGGCCACUAUCACUGUAGUAUCUGAGCACCUCUCAAACACUGAUAUAUUUAUCUUCACAACAUCCUUGAGGUAGGUAAACAUUAUACUCAUUUUACAAAUGGGAAAGAGAGGCAGAGAGAUUAAGUUCACAGCCAAGAGUCAGGACCAGAAUCCAGACCUCCUGAAUCUCAGCACAGUGUCUCAAGCACAAGAGCCUCCUUCGCCUCUUUAAUCACUGUGUCUUGCUUUGCAAUAAAGUUACAAAACCGCCUACUGUAUACCCAAGGCUCAGUUAUAGCUUUUAGAAUAAUCCCUUCCUGAAUUGUCCUCAAUGUGAGGCAAAGGCUAAAAGUUAUAACUCAGCCUCAUGCACAUAUAGCAGGGUGUUUUGUUUUUUGUUGUUUUUUUUUAAAUAGUUUCAUUGCAAAGCAAGACACGGUGAUUAAGGAGCAGAAGGAUGCUAAUGUGUUUAAGUGAGGCACAAUCCCUAUGGAGCAUGGUGGGAGUGAGGUAGGGGAAUAUACAUGGUGCAUGACUAACUCUUAGGAGGAUACAGCAUGCACGCUCCUCCUCCCCACCCUCUUUGAGGUGGCUAAUACCCUCGGGGCACUAAGAGGGACCAGUAUUGUGUUCAGCAGAGCUCAGGAACUGAAUCUGAGUUUGACCUCGUGGCAGGGAGAAGGGGAAAAAAAAAAAAAACGAAGAUUGGCCGAAGGCUCCCCUGCAAGAGAGUCACCCUCAAUCUAAUUCCUAGUAGCUAGUUUCCAUAUGUAAAUAUUUCAAUUACUUCCUUUUUGUUCUAUGUACCAAAGGGACCUAGAUUUUAUUAAAAAAAAAAAAAAACCUCCAAGUCAUUGGUAUUUUAAAAUUACAGCAUUUUGGGUUCACAGACACCCAUAUUUGAAAUCUUAUUGAAAGCAUAGGUUUUUGUUUAGUUGUGUUUCAAUUUCAAUAUGUCUUUUUUCUUAAUUUUAUAAUAAAAAAUCAGCACAAUACUUCCUUGUCAAUACAAAACUAAAUAUGUGCAUCUGUGCCAACAACUCUAUACACCAAAUAAACUGUAUAGUCCACUUUCUAAAAUCAACAUUUUUCAAUGAGUAAUUCCACUCCCACUUAAAAGCAAAGCUAUUUUGAGUACGUUACAUGUUUGGUCACCUUUUCUUGAGACAGAUGGUUCAUUUCUUCCAGUUCUUGCAAGAGUCUGUCCGUUUCUCUUUGAGCUUGAACCAGCAGCCGGCGAGUCUCCAAAAGCUCCAAGUGAAUGUGCUGCAUCUGUUCUCGUUCUAGCCUCAACUGCUGACCUAAAUCUAAUGCUUCCUUGUACUGGUCUGCAAUGCACUUCUCCUGAUCUUUCACUGUCUGUAAUAGGUAAAUAAUUUAAAUUCUUAAAGAAAAAAAACAGAUAUUGAAUUUGGGUUUUUUUUGUUGUUGUUUUUUUUAAAUCAAUGCAGCAACCCUUUUUGAUUCCAUUGAUUCUUGGAGAUUACAAAAGAAGAUAGUGCAGAUUAGACCUGUGGUCUAUGGCAAGUCCUAUCUAUUCCAAUACCGACUCUCCGAAAAUGGCCAGUACCAGAUCUUCAGAGGAAGGUGCAAGAAACCCUACAGUGAACAUUUAUGAAAUAACUUGCCCAUAAUAGAAGCUUCUUUCUAACUCAUGUCAAUUAGUGCUUGGUUUAUACCCUGAAGCAUAAAAGUUUAUAUCCCUUGUAAAAUGAAUUAGAUAGGAGACAACAUUUGUGUUCUCAUUUUCCAUAUAAAUGUAUAUUUUUUUCUGAAUCCCAUAUAGCUCUUGGUCUCAUUGAUAUCUUGUGGCAAUGACUUCCAUAAACUUUUUUCAUGCUGCAUAACUAGCUAUUACAUUUUUUUUUUUUUUUUUUUUAAUGUUUUGCCUUUUCAAAUGCAUUUCAAUGAAACCCUUUUCCCUAGUUAAGUCUGAAGGUUGCUAGUGCCUAAAACAAGCAGCAAGAUCGCCUUAAAAGUCCCACAUAAUGAAAAGUUUAGAGUGUGCGCUUUGGAAUCCUGGUUUAAAUUUAUGGGAUUCAUGAUUCUGCAGACAAAUGCCAGGAGAAAAGUAUAGAACUCUAUUUUUGAAGCUUAUACUCAAAUUUGUUUUGAAGCUUAUGCUCAAAUAAAUUUGUUAGUCUCUAAGGUGCCACAAGUUCUCCUUUUCUUUUUGCAGAUACAGACUAACACGGGUACUACUGUGAAACCUAUUUUGGAAGGGAGAUUUUUGAAGUCUAUUUAAGCUCAUGGGAGAACCCUCCAUUUUGUCUUCAGCUGGCUAAGGAGAUAGCCUCUCCACCCCCAAGGAUACCGGAAAGAAACUGGAACAAAAGACAGUAACUACAGGGGGUGUGAGUGAUUGCUGGACCCGGACUAGAAGGAGAUUAGUCUGUAAAAGGAUGCUUACUGGAACUGAUUGAGAGAAGGACUGGAAGGUAAUGACACCUUUUGGAAUAUUUACAUGAGCUCUAUAAGUAACUUGGAGGUGUCUCAUCCAGAGGGAAUGGAAAAGAGCUACAUAAAUAUUGCAAUUCAAAAAAGAAAAAGGUAUUAAAUCAAAAAACAACAAAAAAUCAUACUUACUUUGAUUGUUUCUUCUGUUAAUUGGCUUUGCAACAUUUUCAAAGCUUCUUCUCUCUUGAUAUUUUGCUUUUCCAUUUCCUGUUUGCACAGAUUUACCAAAGGAGACAAGAUGUGAAUAUAACUGCAUAUAUAAAAGUUAUACUAUUGGAAACCAGCAUACUAGAAAACGGAAAAAAAAAAUUUGGCUUUAUUUAAGCUCCUGAAAGUGUUCCUGGCUUUAUUGAUUUUGUUCCGGACAUCCUGGUUUGUUCCACCGUCCUGACUGAUGGUGCUGCCCAAGCAUGUGAAUGUUUCUAAUUGGUGAAAACAUUAUCCUCUACCAAUACUAGUGAUGGUGAGGCAAUAUUAAAGAGUUGGGUAUGUGAUCAGAGAUAGAGACCAUCUGCGAAGUCCAGGUCUUCAAGGGAUGAGAAGGAUAUCCAUUUAAUGCCCGUUGGCACUCUCUUUUUACACUGCAUUACCCAGUCGAUGGCAAUGUUGAAGAGGAUUGCAGAUAUGACAUCCCUGACAUACUCCUGUUUGGACUUCAAAACUGAGCUCACUGUAAUCAACACUGCAUGUAAAGUUGAAAUAAAA